AGAGGUAAUGACAUCAUGUGUUUUUCUUUCUAUUUUUGAAGGUGAAGGUAUUUGCGCCUAAUGUCGAGCAGAUGCUCAUCGUUAAUCACUUGAAAGGGAGCCCAACAGAAAGAAGAGAAAUGUGCUGGAGGAAAGUGCCAGGAGAGCCCGGAGGGACGUCCAAGACUUGGCAGACCUGAACUCGAGCAAGCUUGAUGCUGUCAUUCUACCUGGUACCACCGAAGACCUGGACUGAACCCAAUAGAAAGUGAAAAGUGGCUGAGGAUUAUAAAAGCAGCAAAGACCAGGCCUUCUCAGAGAUGCCUUUGGAGACUCUGCCCGGGAUAAGGAAACUGAAGCUCACGGAAGCUUAUGAUGCAAUACCAUCAACCGUGGAUAACAUCAUGAGACCCAUUCAAAAUGCCAUUAGUGAUGCUGGAAAUGCUCCCAAGAAGCAGAGAAAAGUCAUGACAUUACAAGAAAACGUUGGAUUGUUUGAUAAUAUGUACUGUAGAUCAUGAUCUGCAGCUGU